rnacentral:rRNA from 1 species
UACGUAGGGGGCUAGCGUUGUCCGGAAUCAUUGGGCGUAAAGAGCGUGUAGGCGGCCCGGUAAGUCCGCUGUAAAAGUCAAAGGCUCAACCUUUGAAUGUCAGUGGAUACUGCCGGGCUAGAGUCCGGAAGAGGCGAGUGGAACUCCUGGUGUAGCGGUGGAAUGCGCAGAUAUCAGGAAGAACACCAACGGCGAAGGCAGCUCGCUGGGACGGUACUGACACUGAGGAACGAAAGCCAGGGGAGCGAAAGGG